AUUGAACGCUGGCGGCAUGCCUUACACAUGCAAGUCGAACGGCAGCACGGGUUCUUGCACCUGGUGGCGAGUGGCGAACGGGUGAGUAAUACAUCGGAACAUGUCCUGUAGUGGGGGAUAGCCCGGCUAAAGCCGGAUUAAUACCGCAUACGAUCCACGGAUGAAAGCGGGGGACCUUCGUGCCUCGCGCUAUAGGGUUGGCCGAUGGCUGAUUAGCUAGUUGGUGGGGUAAAGGCCUACCAAGGCGACGAUCAGUAGCUGGUCUGAGAGGAAGACCAGCCACACUGGGACUGAGACACGGCACAGACUCCUACGGGAGGCAGCAGUGGGGAAUUUUGGACAAUGGGCGAAAGCCUGAUACAGCAAUGCCGCGUGUGUGAAGAAGGACUUCGGGUUGUAAAGCACUGUUGUCCGGAAAGAAAUACUGGGCUCUAAUACGGUAGGGGGAUGACGGUACCGGAAGAAUAAGCACCGGCUAACUACGUG
rnacentral:rRNA from 1 species